rnacentral:rRNA from 1 species
AGUGAACGCUGGCGGUAGGCCUAACACAUGCAAGUCGAACGGCAGCACAGUAAGAGCUUGCUCUUACGGGUGGCGAGUGGCGGACGGGUGAGGAAUACAUCGGAAUCUACUUUUUCGUGGGGGAUAACGUAGGGAAACUUACGCUAAUACCGCAUACGACCUACGGGUGAAAGCAGGGGAUCUUCGGACCUUGCGCGAUUGAAUGAGCCGAUGUCGGAUUAGCUAGUUGGCGGGGGAAAGGCCCACCAAGGCGACGAUCCGUAGCUGGUCUGAGAGGAUGAUCAGCCACACUGGAACUGAGACACGGUCCAGACUCCUACGGGAGGCAGCAGUGGGGAAUAUUGGACAAUGGGCGCAAGCCUGAUCCAGCCAUACCGCGUGGGUGAAGAAGGCCUUCGGGUUGUAAAGCCCAUUUGUUGGGAAAGAAAAGCAGCAGGUUAAUACCCCGCUGUUCUGACGGUACCCAAAGAAUAAGCACCGGCUAACUUCGUG